rnacentral:rRNA from 1 species
CGCAGGCGUGCCUAAUACAUGCAAGUCGAACGAGUUCUCGUUGAUGAUCGGUGCUUGCACCGAGAUUCAACAUGGAACGAGUGGCGGACGGGUGAGUAACACGUGGGUAACCUGCCCUUAAGUGGGGGAUAACAUUUGGAAACAGAUGCUAAUACCGCAUAGAUCCAAGAACCGCAUGGUUCUUGGCUGAAAGAUGGCGUAAGCUAUCGCUUUUGGAUGGACCCGCGGCGUAUUAGCUAGUUGGUGAGGUAAUGGCUCACCAAGGCGAUGAUACGUAGCCGAACUGAGAGGUUGAUCGGCCACAUUGGGACUGAGACACGGCCCAAACUCCUACGGGAGGCAGCAGUAGGGAAUCUUCCACAAUGGACGCAAGUCUGAUGGAGCAACGCCGCGUGAGUGAAGAAGGCUUUCGGGUCGUAAAACUCUGUUGUUGGAGAAGAAUGGUCGGCAGAGUAACUGUUGUCGGCGUGACGGUAUCCAACCAGAAAGCCACGGCUAACUACGUGCCAGCAGCCGCGGUAAUACGUAGGUGGCAAGCGUUAUCCGGAUUUAUUGGGCGUAAAGCGAGCGCAGGCGGUUUUUUAAGUCUGAUGUGAAAGCCCUCGGCUUAACCGAGGAAGCGCAUCGGAAACUGGGAAACUUGAGUGCAGAAGAGGACAGUGGAACUCCAUGUGUAGCGGUGAAAUGCGUAGAUAUAUGGAAGAACACCAGUGGCGAAGGCGGCUGUCUGGUCUGUAACUGACGCUGAGGCUCGAAAGCAUGGGUAGCGAACAGGAUUAGAUACCCUGGUAGUCCAUGCCGUAAACGAUGAAUGCUAGGUGUUGGAGGGUUUCCGCCCUUCAGUGCCGCAGCUAACGCAUUAAGCAUUCCGCCUGGGGAGUACGACCGCAAGGUUGAAACUCAAAGGAAUUGACGGGGGCCCGCACAAGCGGUGGAGCAUGUGGUUUAAUUCGAAGCAACGCGAAGAACCUUACCAGGUCUUGACAUCUUUUGAUCACCUGAGAGAUCAGGUUUCCCCUUCGGGGGCAAAAUGACAGGUGGUGCAUGGUUGUCGUCAGCUCGUGUCGUGAGAUGUUGGGUUAAGUCCCGCAACGAGCGCAACCCUUAUGACUAGUUGCCAGCAUUUAGUUGGGCACUCUAGUAAGACUGCCGGUGACAAACCGGAGGAAGGUGGGGAUGACGUCAAAUCAUCAUGCCCCUUAUGACCUGGGCUACACACGUGCUACAAUGGAUGGUACAACGAGUUGCGAGACCGCGAGGUCAAGCUAAUCUCUUAAAGCCAUUCUCAGUUCGGACUGUAGGCUGCAACUCGCCUACACGAAGUCGGAAUCGCUAGUAAUCGCGGAUCAGCACGCCGCGGUGAAUACGUUCCCGGGCCUUGUACACACCGCCCGUCACACCAUGAGAGUUUGUAACACCCGAAGCCGGUGGCGUAACCCUUUUAGGGAGCGAGCCGUCUAAGGUGGGACAAAUGAUUAGGGUGAAGUCGUAACAAGUGCAUUGGCC